UUCGGGCUAAAAUGGGGAAAUACCAAGUUGUGGACGAAAUGGUAAAAGUAGCCAUUUUCGCAUACGAGUUUUGACAAGCCAGCUCGGAAAUCGGGAACGGUCGGAGGCUCGCUCACACUAUCCGUAUACCAUCUUGGCAUAAUGGCUUGUAUAUUUUGAGUAUGGCAUGUAUAGCAUUAUAAUCAUUUUGUAUAUAUGGUCUUAUGAUAUGGUUAUUGAGUGGUAUGGAAA